UACGUAGGGGGCUAGCGUUGUCCGGAAUCAUUGGGCGUAAGAGCGUGUAGGCGGUCCGGUAAGUCCGCUGUGAAAGUCGGGGGCUCAACCCUCGAAUGCCGGUGGAUACUGUCGGGCUAGAGUGCGGAAGAGGCGAGUUGGAAUUCCUGGUGUAGCGGUGAAAUGCGCAGAUAUCAGGAGGAACACCUAUUGCGAAGGCAGCUCGCUGGGACGUAACUGACGCUGAGACGCGAAAGCGUGGGGAGCAAACAGGAUUGAGAAAC
rnacentral:rRNA from 1 species